AUGGCCUCGAACUGGGGCGAGGUUAAGUCCAAGGGAGGAGCCCUGGUGACAGCGAGGCUCGAAGUCAGGUCAGACUGGCUGGAAGCAAGGGUCCGGGCGGGAAUGAGGAAGUUGCGCGCUCCCCGCCCAGGAGAGAGAUCCCGAAAUCUGGACGAGCGGCUGAGUCAGAAGGCCGUUGCAGCUCCAGCCCGACAGCGUCCCCGCCCGGUUCCCGGGGCUCCGGACCUCAGCCGCGCCACGUCCCGGGCCCCCGCACCCUGGAUGCGGACCCCGGCGCCCGUGCGGGUUCGCAAGCAGGCAGAACUCAGCCAGGAGCCUACACCCCAGAGGGCCGGGGCGGGGCCGGGGUUCAGAGCCUGCCCUCGGGGGGCGGGAAGGCCCCCAGGGCUCACCUCCACGACUGUCGCGUCGACUGGGUCCCGCCCCCGCCGUCCUCUGCCCGCCCUGCGUUAGAGACGCCCGGGCCCGGGCCGCCCACUCCGGAGGCCGCCCACUCCCCAGGGCUGUCUUCUUCCUCCAGCUGCCCUCGGGGCACCUGCUGGCUAUGUCCAGCACCCCCCAGUGUGCGAUCCACGUAG
rnacentral:lncRNA from 1 species